AAUUACGAAUCCCAAGAGGGUUAUAUUAUUUUGAUACAGAUAGUCGACUUUACUGCAGGAGAAGAAAACCAUUGCUGGAGAACAUUUGUUGCUACGCUGACAUCUUCACUAAGCAUUCGUUGAUGCUUAGCUGUUAACAGAAUGGCAGUGUCGUCAGCAAACAAGGUGACAUUCGCAUCUGGCACGGACAAUGGCAGAUCAUUUAUAUAAAUGAUGAAGAGCAACGGCCCAAGAACCGAGCCCUGUGGGACACCGCAGCUCACUGGAAGAGCACCAUCACUCGACACCCCACCAAACUCAACAUACUGAAACCUGUUACUAAGAUACGAUUUUAUUAACUUUAGAGGGAUACCUCUGACGCCAUAAAAUUUUAAUUUGUUUAAGAGCACAUCGUGAUCGACGCAGUCAAACGCUUUCGUAAGGUCGUACAGAAGUGCCUUUGAUACGUCGCCAGCAUCGAAACCCCGCACCACACUGUUCACAAAGUGCAUAAGUGCAUGGGUCGUGGAUUUCCCCUCACGAAAGCCAAACUGCGAUUCACACAGAAGUUUAUUUUCCUCAAAAAACAGUGACAGGCGAGCCUUCAGGGCUUUCUCAAUGACUUUACCGAAUAUAGGGGUAAUUGCAAUGGGCCUAAAGUUAUUUGGUAUCCGAAGGAAAUACGCCACUCGAAAACACUGCGUUCGUUAUGGCUGCCAGGGGACCCACGAUGUACUCAAUGAGACCGGGCUUAAGAAGAAAGAUUUACACGGAGAGGGUGUUUUCGUAAGGUACACAUAUGGGUCACUGGAUUUCCCAAUGGAUGAUACUAGGUCAUUUACUACAUUGGAGAAGUAAGAGUUAAAUUCGUUGGGUGUGAUUGAGUUGGGUAUAGCCUUUGAGGCUCGGUUAGUUUCAUGGUUAAUCAAGGUCCAACAACUUUUGCUCAUGUUGCUGGCUCUAGUUAUAAAAUUGGCAUAUGCCUUGGAUUUUGUUUCUUUGAUCAUUCUUUUGUAGUUAGCAUUAGCCAGUCUAUACUCAGCCCAACUGUCGCGUGGGGAAAAUAUUCGAC